AUCCGGCCUCUGGAAGGCUGGGCUUCAGGUAGUGAAGGCGGUGUGUCACUGCGGUGGUAUCUGGGGAGGCGUGCCGAGCCUCUCCGUGUGCGCGUCCCCUCCAGAAAUCUCCACAUCCCCCUGCUUCUCUCUCCACCAGAGCCGCCUCUCCCUCUGCCGACUGCCUGCCUGCCUGCCUGCCUGCCUGCCUGUGCCAAGAAGCCUACCCGAAUCGAGGGAAAGAGAGAACGAUGCCCGGGAGCGCCUUAACUUCACGCCGGGCGCAAGGGCGGAAGGGGGCCGAUUGGUUGACAGCCGGCUGCCUUGCCUUAAGAAGCAGGGCGUCUGAUGUCAAGCCGCCUCUCCCUCUGCCGACUGCCUGCCUGCCUGCCUGCCUGCCUGCCUGUGCCAAGAAGCCUACCCGAAUCGAGGGAAGAGAGAACGAUGCCCGGGAGCGCCUUAACUUCACGCCGGGCGCAAGGGCGGAAGGGGGCCGAUUGGUUGACAGCCGGCUGCCUUGCCUUAAGGAGCAGGGCGUCUGAUGUCAAGCCGCCUCUCCCUCUGCCGACUGCCUGCCUGCCUGCCUGCCUGUGCCAAGAAGCCUACCCGAAUCGAGGGAAGAGAGAACGAUGCCCGGGAGCGCCUUAACUUCACGCCGGGCGCAAGGGCGGAAGGGGGCCGAUUGGUUGACAGCCGGCUGCCUUGCCUUAAGAAGCAGGGCGUCUGAUGUCAGUGAGUGGGGCGGUUUCGUUGGGGGCGAGAGGCCUGGCCGACCUUGCGAGGGUCUUCCCACGCCCCUGGUGCAUUUCAACGUGCGG
rnacentral:lncRNA from 1 species